GGGUCAGUAGGUUGGUCGUGCCACCGGUACGUACUGGUCUCACUGAUUCCUCCUUCCUGAAGAACCGUAAUGCCAUUAAUUUGGUGUUGCAGGGAAACAGGACUGUUACUUUGAAAAAAUUAGAGUGUUUAAAGCAAGCUAACGCUUGAAUACAUUAACAUGGAAUAAUGAAAUAGGACGAUCGAUCCUAUUUUGUUGGUUUCUAGGAUUGACGUA
rnacentral:rRNA from 1 species